rnacentral:rRNA from 1 species
UACGUAGGGCGCAAGCGUUAUCCGGAAUUAUUGGGCGUAAAGAGCUCGUAGGCGGUUUGUCGCGUCUGCCGUGAAAGUCCGGGCUCAACUCCGGAUCUGCGGUGGGUACGGGCAGACUAGAGUGAUGUAGGGGAGACUGGAAUUCCUGGUGUAGCGGUGAAAUGCGCAGAUAUCAGGAGGAACACCGAUGGCGAAGGCAGGUCGUCUGGGCGAUUAACUGACGCUGAGGAGCGAAAGCAUGGGGAGCGAACAGG